rnacentral:rRNA from 1 species
UACGUAGGGGGCAAGCGUUGUCCGGAAUCAUUGGGCGUAAAGCGCGCGUAGGCGGCCCGGUAAGUCCGCUGUAAAAGUCCAGGGCUCAACCCUGGAAAGCCGGUGGAUACUGUCGGGCUAGAGUCCGGAAGAGGCGAGUGGAAUUCCUGGUGUAGCGGUGGAAUGCGCAGAUAUCAGGAGGAACACCGAUGGCGAAGGCAGCUCGCUGGGCCAUUACUGACGCUGAGGAGCGAAAGCGUGGGGAGCGAACAGG